AGAGACAUUGCUCAUGGCCAAGAGAACAGUCCUAUCACUAACCCAAACUUGGUCAAUGAAGAUGGCAUCCCAACAGAUUUCCUCUACGUCAAAGGCAACUGUGAUCUUGGUCAACGAUGAUGGCAUCCAAAGGAUUUCCUCAAUGUCUAAGACAACGGUGAACUCAUUUGAUGGUGUUGGCAUCCCAACAGAUUUCCUCUGUCAAAGACAGCUGUAAGACAUCAAGACGGAAUGUUGACAGGAGUAUACAUGCAUAGACAUAGCUCAUGGCCUAAAGAACAGGAAUAUUGACAGAGACAGAGCAUGUGGCCUAGAGAACAUUCCUAUCCCUGUUGUUAACUCAGUCAACGAUGAUGGCAUCCCAAUGGAUUUCUUCUACAUCAAAGACAACUGUGAACUCGGUCAACGAUGAUGGCAUCCCAAGUAACUUCCUCAACAGAAAAGACAACUGUGAACUCGGUCAACGAUGAUGGCAUCCCAAGUAACUUCCUCAAAGGAAAAGACAACUGUGAACUCGGUCAAUGAUGAUGGCAUCCCAAGUAAUUUCCUCAAUGGAAAAGAAAACUGUGAACUCGGUCAAUGAUGAUGACAUCCCAACAGAUUUCCUCUACGUCAGAGAUAACUGUGAAAUUGGUCAAUGAUGAUGGCAUCCCAACAGACUUCUAUGUCAACGGCAACUGUGAGACAUGAAGACUCAAUUUGUUGACAGGAAUAUUGGCAGGACUUUCCCGUCGAUAAGUCUACGGCAGAUGACAUCAAAGAGGUUUUCUUCAGGGUCGCUGAAGAACAAAAGCUAGACUUAGCCGGAGUACCUCAACACACAGAUCUAAAACAGAUUUUGUCUGUAGGGUCACCUUACUUUUAUGCAGAGCUGAAUGAUGGAGAGAAGAUCUGACACAGAAUAAAGAAAUUCUUUCCUCUACAGUUUGGCAGGGAGGUGAUGGCAGCUGAAGAAUUGCUUGACUUGCCCGAGAGAGUGGACUGGAAGAACUGUAACAUCAGCAAGGAAGAGGAGAUGAAAUUAGUCUCAACGUUUAGAGAACAGUUUGAGCUGUUUGACUUUAAUCUCUGAGACGGACGUGUGGUAUCCCACGGAUUCGGAGUUUCAUGCAGUUUGUCAACACUGGCGAGAUGUCGUUAUCUGACAGUUAGCAUGGUAACGAUCGGAUACCUGUGCUACUUAGCAGAUCAACUUAUUAGGUGUUGAUGAGAUGAUGUUCCUCUUUCCAUUUUCAGCUUUAUUUGCGCCACCCUUCUAUCCCUCCCUCUUUCCUUUGCCUCCUUUUUCUUCUUCAUAAUUUUGUAAGAAUUAUUUGAAAUUUAUCAUUAUUGUUGUUGUUAUCUUUGUAAUUAUUAUCUGAAUUACUUUUUUUUUUUUCUAUCAUUUAUUUGCUUUAUUUUUAUAUUUUGUACUUGUCUUAAGCUCAUCUCCAUCCACCUCCAUUAUUGAAUAUAGUUUUGUUAAUCAGUAUUGAAACUAAGUUUACGGACUUACCUCCUAUACAAGCUCUGCUUUUCUUGGCAAGUCAUAUAAUUCAUAUAAUUUUUCUUCAAUUUUUUUUUUGAAAUGUCAUUUAACUGUCUGUAUUAUUUUGAAUGUGUACUGUAACUUCGAUUAUAUUUUGUUUAUUUUGUUCAACAGAAAUAAAUAAAUCUAUCUGUAAGUGCUCACCAGUUACUCCUUAUAUAAAACGCGAUGCACACCGGACAUCCGAUUAUCUCUGAAAUCAUGAAAGAAAAGAAGCUGAAUGCGUAUACAGUGCGUAUCAAUAAAAAGUGUGAACUUUAGAAAUAGUCCUGCCAAUUGAAAAAUUUACAAAAUUUGGGAGAUUUUUUUUUUUACAUUCAUUAUGUUCUUGGUCUUCGGUCUCUUUUAUUAGAUGGUGGUAUUUUUGUUUACAGAAUAUUACACUUGAGUGAGCAUUGACCAACUGUCUUUGUACAGUUUGGAGAUAUUGGUUUGUGCAAAAAUGCUGACUUUCACUCUGUGUCAAGGGGGUGGGUGUUUGACUUGAGCGAAUCUGUAGGACAGGGAGAAGAGUUGAGAAUUUUUUUUUUAAUUUAAUGACUGAAGUGCACAUUCUCUUGAUGAUUCAAUGUACGUCAACUUUCAUGAUUGAAACUUUUUCCAAUUUUUAUGCAAGUCAGUUUUUUACUAACUUUUUAAAACUGCAGUCAUAUUCCCAUUUGCUAAAAGGGACUUGUACCUGUAAAUACAUACGUACAUGCGAAAAGACUACUAUUUAUUUUUAUUUACUGUAGCACUAUAUAGUGAGGAGAGAUAGGCACACUCUUCAGAUGGAUUUUCUAGGGACAUGCCUAAUAAAAGCAUAUAUGUAUAUUUACUGCCUUUUUAUCCCUUCAUAUUUUCAACAACAAAAAAAUACUCCAAAUACUGUUUCCCUGUUAAACCCAGCCCCCCCUUAUGAUCUCGGUCAUCGAUCGCGCGAUAAUUUGGCAUGCACAUUACAUAUGGCAUAAUCAACGAAACUAUAAGAUCAAAUUCUGUGAAAAAUCUAAUCCCUAAUUAAUUAUGCUAAUUUAUGCAUAAAAUCAAGAGUUUGCUCUAAUUAAGUAAAUAAUGCCCCUAAAAUGCUAAUUUUUGGUUCACAGACAAUUUAUAGGAAUCUGAUCAAAUGUACUUUUAAAAAAUUCCACAUCACAUUUAUUUUCUUGUGUAUUUUAUUGUUUUCUAAAUUUCUUAUGUAUUUCCUUGUUUUUUGACUUUUUGUUUUUUAUUGUUUUUUUCAUUGGAAAUUGUUUGGGACUUUAUUUUGACCAUAAACAAGAUGAAAUUUAUUGAUUUUAAUCAGUAAAAGGAAAAAUAACGAUACAUUUAUGAAUUUUGGCUAAAAAUACUAUUUGCAUUUCAUUUGUACACAAAAUCACGUUUUUGAGCACUUUUGGGUCUGCAAGCACUUACGAAAAGUUGCGUAAUUUCAAAAGCGCGUACUUAGGGGUCACAAUUUUGGUCUCAAAAGUUGCGCGAGACUUGAAAGUCAGUAAGCGACGCGGUCAAAAAAAUUUGCGCGGCGGAUUUAUCGCUAAAAAUGUCGAGGGGGGGUGGGCUGAAUCAGCACCCCAGUCUUAGGGUUAAACAUGUAUGAAAGAUGCAGAAUGAAAUAUAAUAUUUAUAGGUAGAAUUUGCUAUUGAAACCACCUCUCAAACAUGGAAUGAGAUCUUUUUAGGAUACAAACUCCCUAUAGAAUUAUUGUCUUUUAUUGCAUUCAUCGCCAAAUGCCUAAAUUUUGAUGCAUUGUUAUUUUAUGAAUCAUUAUUUACAAGUAUAUCAUCCCUUGAUUGUUGCCUUGAUAUGUGUUGCAAAGAGUUUCUCGGUUUUAUUUCACUAAGGAGAAUCAACUCUUAAGUUGAUUAACUUCUACAAAUAUUCAUCCAAUAAGGUCUGUUUUAUCGGAUAGUUACUGUAGUCACAGCUUGGGCGGUGUUUCAGAAUGAUAUAAGUGCGACUUUAUUUAUUUAUUUACAGUUGCGUGUGGUUUGUAACGCAUCACCACAUUGUCAAAUCAUGAUCAAAGGAUGUGUGCUGCUUUGUAGAGAUUACGCAUUUAAUAUCAUUUGUAUAAUUUAAAUUUGCGCUUAAACACCCCACCCUCUUAAUAUUGACUUGACCAUUUAAGGACGUUCCACAGUUAUGUUUGUGCGCAUCAUGAUCUGCGCAUAUUUUACACUCUGUGCGCUGACGUCACAAUGGAUGAACAGGUGAUUAAUCAGCUGUAGGUAUGAGCUGAUUUUUCUCCAUUUCAAACAGUAAAGUUGAGAUGAUCAGAAUUAUUUCUAAUCGUCAUUUAAACCAUUGAUUUAAUGCUGGAACAACAAAACAUUCUUCACUCUUACACAAAUAUCGAUAUACCUUAUGAUAUCAAAGGGGCGCUUCAAAUUUCUGUUAAAUUGAUAAAAGAUCUUGUCGAAAAGACAAAUAUAGUGUCACUCGGAGGAAUAGAAUUUAUUUUGUUUUUGGGUCAUUCCAUGGGGUUGGGGCAAUUUUUGUGACAUACCAGAACUCCAAAACCAUGUCUCAUGUAAAAAGGGCAAAUGUAUGCAUAAAAUUAUCUGCACAAAUAAUUGGUGUCUCACCCAGUUUUACUUCUCAAGCAUCAUGAUAUAUUGCAGAUUCACACCUGAGAAUUUAUUGCCAAUGUAAUGGUGGUAAACUUUGUAUUUGUUUUGCAGCAAAUCCAUUAAAGAUCCCAAUUUCCAACUGAAUUACUAUGAUUGGACAUCAUCUUUAAGUCGACACAUCAAAACUUAAGCCCAUUUGAACUGUUCUUCUCUGUGAAAUGAAAAAGCUGAUACCACCGUUACAUGGACAUCACACAAUUUUGUUGCCCCAAACUCAUGGAAUGACCCUUUUACUAAAAUCUUCUAAAUCUGUUAAAUAGUAAAUGAGCUAAGUGCCUCUGUGAUGAUUACGGUAUCUGUUUUAAUCCCAGUGCAUUGCUUUUAGAGUAAAUAUGAAUAAUAAUUAAUUAGUCAAAACGUUAGAUUAUGAUACCACACAUACAGAAAUUUGUAUGGAAAAUGUAACCAUUAGGGUCAAAGGCUUGUCAUAUUUGGCAAACCACAGGCAAUCCCAUGAUAUAAAACCUUUUUGUACAUCCGAUUUCCAUUUUUGUUUUUUACUCUACUUACUAAACUUCAUGAAGUACCAAAGCCAUUGUAUUUUGAGAUCAUUACAACUAUUCAUGUAUAAGAAUUAGAAAACAGAGACAAGACAUUCUUCCAUAUAAUGGAUCGGAUGUGCAUACUUUAUGGAAUUGCCGUCAAAAGACAAAACUCAGAUUAUGCACUGUAGAUAUAUUGAGUACCAAACGUUUUUGUUUUCUCUGGAGAAAUGGUAAUUGAGCCUCCCUUAUAGAGCCUGUACUGAAUUCAUAUGGGUUAAAUCCACUUUUUGUCAAUCACCAAGUUCCUUCAUAUCACAAAAUGAAUUGUUGGCAACCAAAGUACUUUCAACAAAACAUAUGCACAGAAUAUGACAAUACAAAUGUUUUUUUCGUCAGAACCUGCGCAUUAUUAAGCGCAUUUAUGUAGCCCUUUUCGGACAUUAUUAUGGAGCUCCUCUUUUUAUACAUACAUGUAUGUCUAUGGUGUUCAUUAAGUGGAUUUAGCUCUUUUUAGUCACAAUUUAGCUCCUCUUUCUGUAUAUGUCUAUGACAUGUUGAAGUAAAUGACAUUGUUUUUUUUUUUGUUUUUUUUUUGAGUGCUUGUAUUUAUUUCAAUUUGUUCUUUCUCCCCUCCCCCUUGUGUUGCAUUUCAUUGCAUGUUUCAAAAAUUUUCUUUCUCAUUUAUCCUUUUCUAGCACUCCAUUCGCAUCUUCUUUUCUGAUCCAGUCUUACAUGUCAUUUACAUGCACCAGGUCCCCCCUUUCUUUUUUUCUCUCUCUCUUUCUCUCCCACCCCCUUCUCUUGUGCUAUUACUCUUUCCAUUGCCACCACCCUUACCAUGCUUUGACAACUUUAUACACUACUCGACGUAUUUCAUGUUUCUCUCUUCCUUUUUUCUCAAUCUCUCGCUCUCGUUUCUUUCCACUGAAUACUCCACCAGACAUGCCAACCAUUCCCAUUUUAGAGUAUUUGUUCCUUUUUUUUGCUAUGAAUCCGCCAAUACUUUUUUUGUAUAAUUUGUUACUUUUUUUUAAAAUUCCGAUCAUGGAGUAUGUAUAAUACACAGCACGCGAUAAUAGCGCUGGUACGGUCAGUAACUUGUUGCAUAAAAAGAACAAAUAAAUUCUUGCCUACGAGCACAUGUUUAAAAUGGUGAAUUAUCAAGUUUUCAAGUAGAGUCAUUUCACAUGUUUUUUCAACGAUCUCACUACAACAGGCUGGCGAUCGUUAACUUGAGACAAAUUUUUAAAAAUACUCUUUGUCCAAAAAUACCUUCUUAGAAUACUUUUUUUUUUUGUAGAAGGUUGGCAGGUCUGCUCCACCUCCAUCCCCUACCCCCGUUUGUCUUUUUUUUCUCCUGAGAUGUGUUUUCUCUUGACACUCAUUUCUCAUAAACCAUGUUUCUUUAAAUCCUCUCUACUUCAUCAGUAACUUGUCCCUUUCCAUUCCUUCCCUCUCUGCCACUUUAUUGCCCCCCCCCCCUCUUUGUACGUCAUGCAUAAGGUGAACGCCAUCAAAUGGAAAAGGGAAACCAUUCUUCAAACUACUUCCAGAAACCAAUAUUUCUAGCGAAAUUAUGAAUACCGCUGGAAUUGAAUUUCUUAUACCUGCUUUAAAAUAACAAAUUAGUUAAUACAUGUAUAAUGAUAAUAACAAUUUUAUAUACCGCAAAAUCGCAAAAUUGGCUCUAAUCGGUUAAGAGAAAGGAUAAAGGAAAUAGAAAUAGAAAUACUUUGCACAACAAAAUGUAUCAAAACUAAUGUAUAUACUGUUUAUUCCUUUGAUUUCGAUCCAAGAAGAAUGUUACCAAACAGAGCAAUUUUAAGUGCAUAGUGAGAUAAUUUUGUUUUUCAAUCAAACAAGCGUAACAUUUACUCAUUUCAAAGCAAAAAUAGAUGAGCCAUCUUCUGUUCACCUUAUGCAUGCCAAUUUUCGAUUCAAAUUUUAAGAACUCAUUUUCCACUGCCAUUUCAACAGCCUUUAUAGAAGAAGGAGCCAUAAAUGCUGGAUUCUCAAAUUGGCAACUAUUGAUUUCAAGAUGUACGUAAAUCUACAGAUGCACCAUUGAUGCUCAGUGUUCAUCAUCUAAAAAGAUAUUGUUGUGAUAUCAUGUCACAAACAAAAUUAUUUGAAUAUUGUAUUUUUACCAAUUUGAAGAACAAGGCGAGAAUUGAACUUAUCAGAAAGU